rnacentral:rRNA from 1 species
UACGUAGGGGGCAAGCGUUGUCCGGAAUCAUUGGGCGUAAAGCGCGUGUAGGCGGCCAGAAAAGUCCGCUGUGAAAACUCGAGGCUCAACUUCGAGCUGUCGGUGGAAACUUUCUGGCUAGAGUCCGGAAGAGGAGAAUGGAAUUCCUGGUGUAGCGGUGAAAUGCGCAGAUAUCAGGAGGAACACCGAUGGCGAAGGCAGAUCUCUGGGCCGUAACUGACGCUGAGGAGCGAAAGCAUGGGGAGCGAAACAGG